CCUACGGGCGGCAGCAGUGAGGAAUAUUGGUCAAUGGGCGAGAGCCUGAACCAGCCAAGUCGCGUGAGGGAGUACUGCCCUAUGGGUUGUAAACCUCUUUUGUCGGGGAGCAAAAGCCGGACGUGUCCGGCUGUGAGAGUACCCGAAGAAAAAGCAUCGGCUAACUCCGUGCCAGCAGCCGCGGUAAUACGGAGGAUGCGAGGGUUAUCCGGAUUUAUUGGGUUUAAAGGGUGCGCAGGCGGAUUUUUAAGUCAGCGGUAAAAUCGUGGGGCUCAACCCCAUCCAGCCGUUGAAACUGGGGAUCUAGAGUGUGCGAGAGGUAUGCGGAAGGCGUGGUGUAGCGGUGAAAUGCAUAGAUAUCACGCAGAACCCCGAUUGCGAAGGCAGCAUACCGGUGCACAACUGACGCUCAGGCACGAAAGCGUGGGUAUCGAACAGGAUUAGAUACCCUUGUAGUC
rnacentral:rRNA from 1 species